rnacentral:lncRNA from 1 species
UAAUUAAAUUACUGACAUUAUUCCAGCAAUUCUAUGGAAAACAGUUGCAUACAAUACAAAUGUCAUAAUGUUUCCUACAGACUUUAUUUUUGUGGCUUAAAUCACAAGAUUAUGAGAUAUGUUACAGAAGCAUGUGAUUUAAAUCCAAGCUAAUACAAAUCAAGAUGAGGCACUGAGAUUUUUUGUGAUGGGCAAGUUUCCAUCAUAAGUGCAUUUGAAGACAUCUGGUUUCUUUACAAGGCGGGGUCCAAUUGGUACUUUGUUAUUUU